GCAGCCCAUCGCUUGUGCCACAGCUACAACCAGCGGCUGGGCGUAACUUCUGCCUGGCCCCUCAGCUAGUCGCUACAUGCUUCCACUAUGUAAGGCCGCUGUGGGACAUACGUAUGAACUUCUACCAUGUUCACAUAUCUUCUUGCUCCAGGAUUUACACGUAGACACAACUCUGAAACUUACUUUUUCCGCAUCUGAAGGAUUCUCCUGAGUUGGGGUUAGAGCGAACACUCAGAGGGCACAUGUCCAUCAUAGCAAUGUCCAGCCCCUUUAUGACAUGUCCAACACCAAGAACAAACCAUUUGGGGUGGCCUUCAUCUUGUGUCCGGCUAUGAGAAACCAUACUUUUUUUGUAAGUAAGCUGAUCUCAUAAAGGAAACUUUUAAAUCCA